rnacentral:lncRNA from 1 species
AGUUUCCAAACGUGAGGUCAAGCUUUCCGUCCCAGUAGAAGAACUCCUGCAGUCAGGGAACGAAGCCGUCCAGGAGCCACAGCCUGUGCUUGAGGCCGUGCCUGAGGAUUCUGAAGAGGCUGCCAAGGAGGUGGAACCGGCCGAGGCAGUCGUAGCUCAAGUACCAACUGCCACAGUGGAUGACGUCUUACCUGCACACGAGGAAAUCAAGGAGGAAGAGAGCAUAGAGCCGGCCAAGGUGGCUCUGGAUGACCAGGUGGAGAAUGUCGAGCCCAAGGAGAGUGCUUCAGUCGCGAUCCUGGACGAGGGAGAAAAGUUGGCGGUGCCAGAGAUCGAGAGUGGUGCACCGGAUUCCAUGCAUGCGACAGAUGCCACAGUGGAGGACACACAGCGAGCAUCUUCUGCCAGUGAAGACGUUCACGAGAACGUGGAAGAGGAGCAAGCGAACGUUGCGGUGCCACAUCAAGUUUCCGAACGAGAGCUUGAGAUUGCCGUCCCAGUAGAAGGACUCCCACAGUUGGUGAACGAAGCCGUCCAGGAGCCACAACCUGUGCCUGAGGCCGUUCCCGAGCCAGAGGCCGUGCCUGAGGCUGCUGAAGAGGCUGCCAAGGAGGUGGAAGCGGCCAAGCCAGUCGUAGCUCAAGUACCAACCGCCACAGUGGAUGACAUCUUACCCACACACGAGGAAAUCAAGGAGGAAGGGAGCAUAGAGCCGGCCAAGGUGGCUCUGGAUGACCACGUGGAGAAUGUCGAGCCCAGGGAGAGUGCUUCAGUCGCGAUCCUGGACGAGGGAGAAAAGUUGGCAGUGCCAGAGAUCGAGAGUGGUGCACCGGAUUCCAUGCAUGCGACACAUGGUACAAUGGAGGACUCACAGCGAGCAUCUUCUGCCAUUGAGGACAUUCACGAGAACGUGGAAGAGGAGCAAACAAAAGUCGAGGUGCCACAUGAAGUUUCCGAACGCGAGGUCGAGCUUGCCGUCCCAGUGGAACAUCUCCCACAGUCAGGGAACGAAGAAGUCCAUGAGCCACAGCCUGUGCCUGAGGCCGUUCCCGAGCAUGAGGCCGUGCCUGAGGCUGCUGAAGAGGCUUCCAAGGAGGUGGAACCGGCCGAGCCAGUCGUAGAUGAAGUACCAACCGCCACAGUGGAUGACAUCUUACCCACACACGAGGAAAUCAAGGAGGAAGGGAGCAUAGAGCCGGCCAAGGUGGCUCUGGAUGACCAGGAGGAGAAUGUCGAGCCCAGGGAGAGUGCUUCAGUCGCGAUCCUGGACGAGGGAGAAAAGUUGGCGGUGCCAGAGAUCGAGAGUGGUGCACCGGAUUCCAUGCAUGCGACAGAUGCCACUGUGGAGGACUCACAGCGAGCAUCUUCUGCCAGUGAAGACAUUCACGAGAAUGUGGAAGAGGAGCAAACCAACGUUGACGUGCCACAUCAAGUAUCUGAACGCAAGGUUGAGAUUCCCGUCCCAGUAGAAGGACUCCCACAGUCAGGGAACGAAGAAGUCCAGGAGCCACAGCCUGUGCCUGAGGCCGUUUCCGAGCCAGAGGCCGUGCCUGAGGCUUCUGAAGAGGCUCACAAGGAUGUGGAAGCGGCCGAGCCAGUCGUAGCUCAAGUACCAACCGCCACAGUGGAUGACAUCUUACGCGCACACGAGGAAAUCAAGGAGGAAGAGAGCAUAGAGCCGGCCAAGGUGGCUCUGGAUGACCACGUGGAGAAUGUCGAGCCCAGGGAGAGUGCUUCAGUCGCGAUCCUGGACGAGGGAGAAAAGUUGGCGGUGCCAGAGAUUGAGAGUUGUGCACCGGAUUCCAUGCAUGCGACAGAUGCCACCGUGGAGGACACACAGCGAGCAUCUUCUGCCAGUGAAGACAUUAAUGAGAACGUGGAAGAGGAGCAAACAAAAGUGUAGGUGCCACAUGAAGUUUCCGAACGCGGGGUCGAGCUUGCCAUCCCAGUAGAAGAACUCCUGCAGUCAGGGAACGAAGCUGUCCAGGAUGCACAGCCUGUGCUUGAGGCCGUUCAGGCUUCUGAAGAGGCUGCCAACGAGGUGGAGUCGGCCGAGCCACUCGUAGCUCAAGUACCAACCGCCACAGUGGAUGACGUCUUACCCGCACACGAGGAAAUCAAGGAGAAAGAGAGCAUAGAGCCGGCCAAGGUGGCUCUGGAUGACCACGUGGAGAAUGUCGAGUCCAGGGAGAGUGCUUCAGUCGCGAUCCUGGACGAGGGAGAAAAGUUGGCGGUGCCAGAGAUUGACAGUGCUGCACCGGAUUCCAUGCAUGCAACAGAUGCCACCCUGGAGGACACACAGCGAGCAUCUUCUGCCAGUGAAGACAUUGACGAGAACGUGGAAGACGAACAAACCAACGUCGAGGUGCCACAUUUAGUUUCCGAACGCAAGGUCAAGCUUGCCGUCCCAGUAGAAGAACUCCCACAGUCAGGGAACGAAGAAGUCCAGGAGCCACAGCCUGUGCUUGAGGCCGUUUCCGAGCUUGAGGCCGUGCCUGAGGCUUCUGAAGAGGCUGUCAAGGAGGUGGAACCGGCCGAGCCAGUCGUAGCUCAAGUACCAACCGCCACAGUGGAUGACAUCUUACCUGCACACGAGGAAAUCAAGGAGGAAGAGAGCAUAGAGCCGGCCAAGGUGGCUCUGGAUGACAAGGUGGAGAAUGUCGAGCCCCGGGAGUGUGCUUCAGUCGCGAUCCUGCAGGAGGGAGAAGAGUUGGCGGUGCCAGAGAUCGAGAGUGGUGCACCGGAUUCCAUGCAUGCGACAGAUGCCACAGUGGAGGACACACAGCGAGCAUCUUCUGCCACUGAAGAAAUUCACGAGAACGGGGAAGAGGAGCAAAGCAAUGUCGAAGUGCCACAUGAAGUUUCCGAAGGGAAAUUCGAUCUUGCUGUCCCCGUAGAAGAACUCCCACAGUCGGGGAACGAAGAAGUCCAGGAGCCACAGCCUGUGCUUGAGGCCGUGCCUGAGGCUUCUGAAGAGGCUGUCAAGGAGGUGGAACCGGCCGAGCCAGUCGUAGCUCAAGUACCAACCGCCACAGUGGAUGACAUCUUACCCGCACAUGAGGAAAUCAAGGAGGAAGAGAGCAUAGAGCCGGCCAAGGUGGCUCUGGAUGACAAGGUGGAGAAUGUCGAGCCCCGGG